rnacentral:lncRNA from 1 species
UUGUUAUAACAACAGAUUUAUAAUUCCGGUUACCAAAAUACAAACGUACUUCGUUGUUUGAAUGAAGUCGAUCUUGAGGAGUUUAGAGUACCAGCUACUACAAAUAAUUGUUUGCAUGAAAAGUAAGUCCCAACGUACAUCAAAUUGUCUUUAAAUUAAGGCAGAAGAAUUAUAAUUGAACUUUCAAAAGAUGCCAAACACAAUCCCCAACAUGCUCUCACACUCUCCAGAAGUUCACAAAUUUAGAACAGCCAUGAUCAAUGUCAACAUUAUGAAAGAUGAAAGGUCGGUUGGUGAACAAGGUGAAAGACUACGGCUACAGUACAUUGGUGCUGGAAGAAAACAAAGCAUAUUUGUUCUGUUU